rnacentral:rRNA from 1 species
UACGGGGGGGGCAAGCGUUGUUCGGAAUUACUGGGCGUAAAGGGCGCGUAGGCGGCCUGCUAAGUCGGAUGUGAAAUCCCUCGGCUCAACCGAGGAACUGCAUCCGAUACUGGCGGGCUUGAAUCCGGGAGAGGGAUGUGGAAUUCCAGGUGUAGCGGUGAAAUGCGUAGAUAUCUGGAGGAACACCGGUGGCGAAGGCGGCCCACUGGCUCGAUACUGACGCUGAGGUGCGAAAGCGUGGGGAGCAAACAGG